GGGGGCCCGCAAGCGGUGGAGCAUGUGGUUUAAUUCGAUGCAACGCGAAGAACCUUACCUACUCUUGACAUCCACGGAACUUAGCAGAGAUGCUUUGGUGCCUUCGGGAACCGUGAGACAGGUGCUGCAUGGCUGUCGUCAGCUCGUGUUGUGAAAUGUUGGGUUAAGUCCCGCAACGAGCGCAACCCUUAUCCUUUGUUGCCAGCGGUCCGGCCGGGAACUCAAAGGAGACUGCCAGUGAUAAACUGGAGGAAGGUGGGGAUGACGUCAAGUCAUCAUGGCCCUUACGAGUAGGGCUACACACGUGCUACAAUGGCAUAUACAAAGAGAAGCGACCUCGCGAGAGCAAGCGGACCUCAUAAAGUAUGUCGUAGUCCGGAUUGGAGUCUGCAACUCGACUCCAUGAAGUCGGAAUCGCUAGUAAUCGUGGAUCAGAAUGCCACGGUGAAUACGUUCCCGGGCCUUGUACACACC
rnacentral:rRNA from 1 species